rnacentral:rRNA from 1 species
UACGUAGGGGGCAAGCGUUAUCCGGAUUUACUGGGUGUAAAGGGAGCGUAGACGGUUAUGCAAGUCAGAAGUGAAAGCCCAAAGCUCAACUUCGGGACUGCUCUUGAAACUGUGUAACUAGAGUGCAGGAGGGGUAAGCGGAAUUCCUAGUGUAGCGGUGAAAUGCGUAGAUAUUAGGAGGAACACCGGCGGCGAAGGCGGCUUACUGGACUGUAACUGACGUUGAGGCUCGAAAGCGUGGGGAGCAAACAGG